GCCUGAGUGGCUCAGUCGGUUGAGCAUCCGACUUCGGCUCAGGUCAUGAUCUCACGGUUCGUGGGUUCGAGCCCCGCAUCGGGUU
rnacentral:tRNA from 1 species